rnacentral:rRNA from 1 species
GGGUUGUGAGGUUAAGCGACUAAGCGUACACGGUGGAUGCCCUGGCAGUCAGAGGCGAUGAAGGACGUGCUAAUCUGCGAUAAGCGUCGGUAAGGUGAUAUGAACCGUUAUAACCGGCGAUUUCCGAAUGGGGAAACCCAGUGUGAUUCGUCACACUAUCAUUAACUGAAUCCAUAGGUUAAUGAGGCGAACCGGGGGAACUGAAACAUCUAAGUACCCCGAGGAAAAGAAAUCAACCGAGAUUCCCCCAGUAGCGGCGAGCGAACGGGGAGCAGCCCAGAGCCUGAAUCAGUGUGUGUGUUAGUGGAAGCGUCUGGAAAGGCGCGCGAUACAGGGUGACAGCCCCGUACACAAAAAUGCACAUGCUGUGAGCUCGAUGAGUAGGGCGGGACACGUGGUAUCCUGUCUGAAUAUGGGGGGACCAUCCUCCAAGGCUAAAUACUCCUGACUGACCGAUAGUGAACCAGUACCGUGAGGGAAAGGCGAAAAGAACCCCGGCGAGGGGAGUGAAAAAGAACCUGAAACCGUGUACGUACAAGCAGUGGGAGCACAGAGCAAUCUGUGUGACUGCGUACCUUUUGUAUAAUGGGUCAGCGACUUAUAUUCUGUAGCAAGGUUAACCGAAUAGGGGAGCCGAAGGGAAACCGAGUCUUAACUGGGCGUUAAGUUGCAGGGUAUAGACCCGAAACCCGGUGAUCUAGCCAUGGGCAGGUUGAAGGUUGGGUAACACUAACUGGAGGACCGAACCGACUAAUGUUGAAAAAUUAGCGGAUGACUUGUGGCUGGGGGUGAAAGGCCAAUCAAACCGGGAGAUAGCUGGUUCUCCCCGAAAGCUAUUUAGGUAGCGCCUCGUGAAUUCAUCUCCGGGGGUAGAGCACUGUUUCGGCAAGGGGGUCAUCCCGACUUACCAACCCGAUGCAAACUGCGAAUACCGGAGAAUGUUAUCACGGGAGACACACGGCGGGUGCUAACGUCCGUCGUGAAGAGGGAAACAACCCAGACCGCCAGCUAAGGUCCCAAAGUCAUGGUUAAGUGGGAAACGAUGUGGGAAGGCCCAGACAGCCAGGAUGUUGGCUUAGAAGCAGCCAUCAUUUAAAGAAAGCGUAAUAGCUCACUGGUCGAGUCGGCCUGCGCGGAAGAUGUAACGGGGCUAAACCAUGCACCGAAGCUGCGGCAGCGACGCUUAUGCGUUGUUGGGUAGGGGAGCGUUCUGUAAGCCUGUGAAGGUGUACUGUGAGGUAUGCUGGAGGUAUCAGAAGUGCGAAUGCUGACAUAAGUAACGAUAAAGCGGGUGAAAAGCCCGCUCGCCGGAAGACCAAGGGUUCCUGUCCAACGUUAAUCGGGGCAGGGUGAGUCGACCCCUAAGGCGAGGCCGAAAGGCGUAGUCGAUGGGAAACAGGUUAAUAUUCCUGUACUUGGUGUUACUGCGAAGGGGGGACGGAGAAGGCUAUGUUGGCCGGGCGACGGUUGUCCCGGUUUAAGCGUGUAGGCUGGUUUUCCAGGCAAAUCCGGAAAAUCAAGGCUGAGGCGUGAUGACGAGGCACUACGGUGCUGAAGCAACAAAUGCCCUGCUUCCAGGAAAAGCCUCUAAGCAUCAGGUAACAUCAAAUCGUACCCCAAACCGACACAGGUGGUCAGGUAGAGAAUACCAAGGCGCUUGAGAGAACUCGGGUGAAGGAACUAGGCAAAAUGGUGCCGUAACUUCGGGAGAAGGCACGCUGAUAUGUAGGUGAAGUCCCUCGCGGAUGGAGCUGAAAUCAGUCGAAGAUACCAGCUGGCUGCAACUGUUUAUUAAAAACACAGCACUGUGCAAACACGAAAGUGGACGUAUACGGUGUGACGCCUGCCCGGUGCCGGAAGGUUAAUUGAUGGGGUUAGCGCAAGCGAAGCUCUUGAUCGAAGCCCCGGUAAACGGCGGCCGUAACUAUAACGGUCCUAAGGUAGCGAAAUUCCUUGUCGGGUAAGUUCCGACCUGCACGAAUGGCGUAAUGAUGGCCAGGCUGUCUCCACCCGAGACUCAGUGAAAUUGAACUCGCUGUGAAGAUGCAGUGUACCCGCGGCAAGACGGAAAGACCCCGUGAACCUUUACUAUAGCUUGACACUGAACAUUGAGCCUUGAUGUGUAGGAUAGGUGGGAGGCUUUGAAGUGUGGACGCCAGUCUGCAUGGAGCCGACCUUGAAAUACCACCCUUUAAUGUUUGAUGUUCUAACGUUGACCCGUGAUCCGGGUUGCGGACAGUGUCUGGUGGGUAGUUUGACUGGGGCGGUCUCCUCCUAAAGAGUAACGGAGGAGCACGAAGGUUGGCUAAUCCUGGUCGGACAUCAGGAGGUUAGUGCAAUGGCAUAAGCCAGCUUGACUGCGAGCGUGACGGCGCGAGCAGGUGCGAAAGCAGGUCAUAGUGAUCCGGUGGUUCUGAAUGGAAGGGCCAUCGCUCAACGGAUAAAAGGUACUCCGGGGAUAACAGGCUGAUACCGCCCAAGAGUUCAUAUCGACGGCGGUGUUUGGCACCUCGAUGUCGGCUCAUCACAUCCUGGGGCUGAAGUAGGUCCCAAGGGUAUGGCUGUUCGCCAUUUAAAGUGGUACGCGAGCUGGGUUUAGAACGUCGUGAGACAGUUCGGUCCCUAUCUGCCGUGGGCGCUGGAGAAUUGAGGGGGGCUGCUCCUAGUACGAGAGGACCGGAGUGGACGCAUCACUGGUGUUCGGGUUGUCAUGCCAAUGGCACUGCCCGGUAGCUAAAUGCGGAAGAGAUAAGUGCUGAAAGCAUCUAAGCACGAAACUUGCCCCGAGAUGAGUUCUCCCUGACUCCUUGAGAGUCCUGAAGGAACGUUGAAGACGACGACGUUGAUAGGCCGGGUGUGUAAGCGCAGCGAUGCGUUGAGCUAACCGGUACUAAUGAACCGUGAGGCUUAACCUUACAACGCCGAAG